rnacentral:lncRNA from 12 species
AUGAAGGGGCACCGAAUAAGGACCUGGCAUAUAAAAACCCACUCAGCAGAUUUUCUAAGGAAGGAACGGAAGGAAGGAGAUGGAGGAUGGACAGAGGGCAAAGAUGUGAGGUUCUCUGAGGAGGACACAGUGGGACUCGUAGGCCCAGUGGCCCCACCCGGAGCAGCACGUGACCACAGAUCCUCUGAUGGAAACCACCAGGCUGACAGAGUGUUUGGGAGGUGGAUUCAUUCUGGGCCAGAUGGAAGAGGGAUAAGGACCCAGCCCUUGGCCCAAGCACCUCUGGCUCCGGGCCCCAGGGGAAGGAGGCCCCGGGAAACUGGCCCCUGGGUGUCAGGCAAGUGUGUCUCAGGCCUUGAAAGAAAGGGGCCGCCAGCCUCACUCCUCCCCCCCCCCCCCGC